UUCUCUUAAGAUUCUCCGCCGCUAGUACAAAAAUUUAGAGUUCUCAGAAAAAUUGGAAUCUGAGUUUCAAAACCGCUCAUCACAUUUUGAAACCUUUGAACGCAUGUGGUUUGAUAUAGGAUAUUGGUGGUGAUUAGGCGAGCCCGCUUUCUUCACUCCGGAAAUGAGAGAGAAAGUGAGAAACAAAUCGUAAAGAGUUCUCUUUUUGCGAGGUCUCUACUAUGUAAAUCAAAAAAGAAGAAGAAGAAGAAAGAUGUCUUCGAUGAUCAAUCUAGUGACUUUGGUACCAAGGAUUUGGAUUUCAAGGAAGAGAAGCUAGGAGUUGCAGAUUACAAAUCCCUCUGAUACGAGUUUGAUGCUUGCGUUGCGGGUGAGAAAAUGGGUUCUGCAGAUGCGAGGACAUUGAGUUACUCAUGAAGUAGGAGAUUUGCUGAUUUGGUUUGGAGAAAGGUAAAUUAUCAUCCUUGGUAGCAUGUUUAUCUCAACAUCGAUUCUAAUCAUGACGGAUUAACAUGAAUUAUACUCAUCUGUUUUGGAUGGUGAUUUGAAAUAUGAAACAAGUUCUCCGCUUUGGGAAACUAUGUUGCAUUAAAAAAAAUUUGGGGGGGGGUUAAUUUGUGUGAAUGUAAACAAAAGAUCGAAUCUAAAACUGAACGUUUGAAUCCAAGUCCGAUUUGAUUA